CUUUCCUUGACGACGACUGGCGCACGGGUGAGUAACGCGUAUCCAACCUUCCCAUGACCACGGGAUAACCCGUUGAAAGACGGCCUAAUACCGUAUGACGUCGUUUGCCGACAUCGAAAGACGACCAAAGGUUUGGCGGUGAUGGAUGGGGAUGCGUCUGAUUAGCUUGUUGGCGGGGUAACGGCCCACCAAGGCUACGAUCAGUAGGGGUUCUGAGAGGAAGGUCCCCCACAUUGGAACUGAGACACGGUCCAAACUCCUACGGGAGGCAGCAGUU
rnacentral:rRNA from 1 species